AGGCCAAUUGGCCUGACAUUCUUAUCGAUGCUGAACUUUACGCAUCAUCUUUGGGACAUUUUCGCGUUGUGCUCGCGGUUUUACCUGCAGUGUGUGUGUGUGUGUCGCCUAUAUGUAGUAAGUGUGUAAGGACGCGAAGAGGAAAGACAGGCAGUAUGAGAUAUUUGUCCUGUUGAAAAUAUGACAUUUUAUUUCAUAGCGAUUCACCAGUGUGUGUGUGGCAGCUCUAAUCCAACCCAGACCCUCAUUACUUUUCCCAAUUGUACCAUUUUCAGUGAACCGAGUUAUCAUGCAUAUAGGCUAUUCUAUAGCGUUUGCAGUAUGUGGAUGUUUGUUUUGCCUUCUGAUGGACAAAGGAGAAGGGUCCACUGUUAGCUGAGCUCCACCAACCUGAGGCCUGGGGAUUACGGCUCGAACUAUCUGCCCUACCCACUGCCAGGCCACGGAGAGCCGGGGAGAAGAGCUGUGAUCCGCGGGUUUACUACAGGCCUAAUCUUCGGUUGGACGCUGCUACAGGCUAUUCAGAAGUUGUGGCUGCUGUUGCCUGCGUUUCUCCGGCCCAUUGUGAGAGGAGCCCCCUCGGUCCCGCUCUUCUCUUCUCUCCCCCUGAGCUCAACCCAGCCGGCCGGAGGAGUGCAGAUGACUCACCAAGAAGGGUUCCAGAGCGGAGGCUACAGCAGCGUGCUGCAUGGAGGCUCUAUAAUACCGGGGGAAUACCGCGGCCGGACUGGUAGACUAGCCUCGUGCCUUUCCCGGGGCGCACAUUCAUCACUCGUGCAGAUAGAUAUAUUUGUUGUAAUGUGCACGCGUGCUUUUGGCGAGGACAAGGCUGAGCGCGAGGUUUGAUGGAGGAGAUUGGCGGAUUAGAGCGAGUGGAAGGUUUGUUACCAGGCUGCCUUAAAAUGUCAUGUAAAGUCCAAUCCGGAUUUCGUGUGGAGUUAACUUCAACCUAAUGUACCUACAUGGAAAUGUUGAGAACAAGAGUUUAAAACGUCCCAAACAGUGUUGGUGUAAGGGCAGGCUAUUCUAUAAUGGUCUAUGUGUAUGUGUUUCCCAUGUGUGAAACGGAAAUCCUUCAACCAUAAUUAAAUAAUGGAAUAAUUACUCUAUA